UCUAUGGGUGGCAGCAGUAGGGAAUCUUCCACAAUGGACGAAAGUCUGAUGGAGCAACGCCGCGUGAGUGAAGAAGGGUUUCGGCUCGUAAAGCUCUGUUGGUAGUGAAGAAAGAUAGAGGUAGUAACUGGCCUUUAUUUGACGGUAAUUACUUAGAAAGUCACGGCUAACUACGUGCCAGCAGCCGCGGUAAUACGUAGGUGGCAAGCGUUGUCCGGAUUUAUUGGGCGUAAAGCGAGUGCAGGCGGUUCAAUAAGUCUGAUGUGAAAGCCUUCGGCUCAACCGGAGAAUUGCAUCAGAAACUGUUGAAUUUGAGUGCAGAAGAGGAGAGUGGAACUCCAUGUGUAGCGGUGGAAUGCGUAGAUAUAUGGAAGAACACCAGUGGCGAAGGCAUCUCACGAAUCCGCGAUUGACGCUGAUGCACGAAAGCGUGGGUAUCAAACAGGAUUAGAUACCCCUGUAGUC
rnacentral:rRNA from 1 species